rnacentral:rRNA from 1 species
UAGGGAAUAUUGGGCAAUGGACGAAAGUCUGACCCAGCCAUGCCGCGUGCAGGAAGAAGGCCUUCUGGGUUGUAAACUGCUUUUGAUCGGGAACAAAGAAUCCAUGCGUGGAUAGUUGAGUGUACCGAUAGAAUAAGCACCGGCUAACUCCGUGCCAGCAGCCGCGGUAAUACGGAGGGUGCAAGCGUUGUCCGGAUUUAUUGGGUUUAAAGGGUGCGUAGGCGGUCUUUUAAGUCAGUGGUGAAAGCCUCCAGCUUAACUGGAGAACUGCCAUUGAUACUGGAAGACUUGAGUACAGACGAGGUAGGCGGAAUUGACAGUGUAGCGGUGAAAUGCAUAGAUAUUGUCAAGAACACCGAUUGCGAAGGCAGCUUACUAGACUGUAACUGACGCUGAGGCACGAAAGUGUGGGGAUCAAACA